rnacentral:lncRNA from 1 species
CUUUGUUCUCUGGGCCAUCUAGGCUUCCAGAGAUGGUUUUUAAACUUCUAACAACAACCCUUGAAGGUGGAGUGACAAUAUUUCCUAGCAAAAGAUGCAUCCAUCCCUGUGAAGUGGGGGCUGGGCUGUUCCCCGCUUCACCCCACGUGCAAAGAGAUGAGAUUUAUAAAUGAUACAGCUCAUUGUGUUUUUUCUACAAGAUUAAUUUUAUUGUCCCAUUAUCGGCUCCUUCUGAAUCCAUUCAGGGGUGGAAUAUGUCUUAGCUUUCAUCUCUGGAGCUUUCAUUAAUAAUUAGGUCACCUUUUAGCCAGGAGCCCUGGGUGGCUCAGGCUGGGGAAGAUUCCAGCUGGAAUGGAAACCCUCAGCAUGCUAUAGUGCUCUCGCUGCUCUGGUCCGGGGAAGGGAGCUGCCUCCAACAGCUGAUGUCAGGAGUCAGGCAACUAUGACCCCAUUUUACAAGAGAGGGGCCAAGGGUCACCUCUGCAGGCUGGUAGAGCGGGAAGUUGUGUAACACAGAUUUGAGCCAAGUACAGCUUGCCCCAAAGCCAGUGCUGUCCCCACCCUGGCACAUGAGCAACUGUCCCUCCAGGGUUGAGAGAGUUGGAGGAUAGAGUUUCACUCUCCUGAGAUCUAAAAGAUAAACCAAUUGGAAAUGCUGACAUUGAUUAAUUCUUCUUCUUCUUUCUUUUUUUUUUUUUGCUGAGGAAGAUUUGCCUGAGCUAACAUCUGUGCCAAUCUUCCUCUAUUUUGUACGUGGGUCACCAUCACACCAUGGCUGACAAGUGGUAUAGGUCUGCGCCCAGGAUCCGAACCUGUGAACCCAGGCUGCUGAAGCAGAGCGCGCUGAGGAACUUUAACGGCUAAGCCAUGGGGCCGGCCCUAGUUCUCCAUUUUUUUGAUGAAGUAAUGGAAGUGCUGGGGCCAGAUGUUGAAUGAUUGGCCAUCAUUUGGGACCCAAACAACACUUCUUGGACAUUUAGGAUGUUUAUGAUUUUUCACAGUGUGGUGGGGGUCAGAAGUCUGAAACCAGCUUCGUUGGGUAAAGCCGCAGUGUAGGCAGAGCUGGCUCCUUCUGGAGGUUCCAGGGGAGCAGCUGCUUCCUUGGCUUUCCCCCGUCUGCUGACCACCUGUAUUCCUCAGUUCAUGGCCCCUCCUCCACCUUCAGAGAGCAUCCUCCAGUCUCUGCUUCUGUCGCCGUCGCAUUGUCCUCUCCUCGGCCCCAACUCCUGCCUCCCUCGCACAGGACUGUUGUGAUGAGAUCACGCCAUCAGGAUAAUCCAGGAUGAUCGCCUGUCUCAAGAUCCUGAACUUGAUCACAUCUGCAGAGUCCCUUUUCCCAUGCAAGGUCACAGUCAUGGGUCCCAAGGAUUCGGACAUGGACGUUUUUGGGGAGACAUUAUUCAGCUACCUCACCAUCAUGGACUGAAUGUCAUGCCCCCCAUUCAUGUGUUGAAGCCUAGCCCCCAGUGCGACUGCAUUUGGAUUUAGGACUGUGAGGAGGUGAUAAACACUGAAUGGGGUCAUAAGGGUGAGGCCCUAAUCUGAGAGGGCCGGUGCCUUUCUAAGACCAGGAAGACACCCCAGAGAGCUCGCUCUCCCUCCGCCUGUGAGGGCAGUGGGAAGGCGGCCGCCUGAGAGCCGGGAAGAAAGGCCUCACCAGGAAUGGACUUGCCGGACCUUGAUCGGGACAUCUGGCCGCCAGGAAUGUGAGAAAUAAAUGCCUGUUGUUUACGCCCCCAGCCUCUGGUAUUUUGUUAUGGCGGCCAGAGCUGACUAAUACACUCCCGAGCUAAUCCGCUCAGUAGCUUGCUCACGGUCACCAGUUUGGCGGGAAGGGCAAAGGUGGGAUCUGGCCCGGCUCUGAUGCCAAAGCCCAUACCCCAGAGGCCGGCCUCUGACCAGUCAGCGCAGGCAGCAUCCUGAUGGGUUCUGAGGCCUGGGCGCUACAUCGGUGUUACCAAGAUUUAGCUGCGAUGUCACAAUGUCAAAGAUGGGUAUGAAGGUUGCAGCAGGCAGAAUUUAAUAACAGGGAUCUGGGGAAUGACGUUUCCUUCUGUCACUGCGAACGACUCCAAACUCCCUAAAAUCCACGAAGCAAGGUCCAGAGUGUGCGAGUCAGUGGAGAUCAAGCUACGCUGCCAGAACAACGGACCCUAAAAUCCAGCGGCUUCAACAGCAAGGCUCCUGCUUGUGUCCCCCGUGGGGCACUGUGCUUCUGCUGUCCGUCCUGUUUAUUCUGGAACAUGGAGGAAGCAGCAACUCCUCUCCAGGACAUGCCGAUCGUGGAGCAGAGAGAAAAGAGAAGCCCCCUCGCGUGAUGGCUCUUAAAUUCCUUCUCAGAAGCGCACGUCACUCCCACUCACGUUUCAUCGGCCAAAGCAAGUCACAUGACGGGACAUAGAAUCUUCUUGUAGGGAGAGGCAGUGAAUAACGGCUAAUAAUAGUCACUACGGGCAGUUUUUAAAGACUUGACCGAUGGUCUGCCGUCUAUAGUUUCUCCUGAGUCCUGGGAACUGGAUGUCAGGGCUGAACUGUGUUCUCUCAAAAUUCCUGUGUUGAAGUCGUAAGCCCGGCACUUCAGAACAUGGCUGUGCUGGAGACGGUAAAACGAGGUCGCUACCAUGGGCCCUGAUCCAGUCUGACUGCAGUCCUGGUAAGAAGAGGGGAUCAGGACCCAGACACGCACAGAGGGACGACCAGGUGGGGACACAGGG